rnacentral:rRNA from 2 species
CGUGACCCAGGUCAGGCGGGAUUACCUACUGAAUUUAA